rnacentral:tRNA from 1 species
GGGGGCGGAUUGGGCCUGGUGGUCUGACUGGUCUUCAAAACCAGCUGGGGCGCGCUUCGCGGGCCUCGGUGGGUUCGAUUCCCACACGCUCCC